GUGCUACAUCAGAUUUAGGGAAAUAAGCCUAAUGCCUUGACAUUUCAGGCAAUAAAUUAUGUUUUAGGAUAUAAGCCUGAUGCGCCUAAUUUCACUUAUUGCCGCUAACAUAUGCAUGUUAAUAUUCUGCACAUUAUCCUAUUCUUUUGUUAAAACUGAUUUGUCAUUUCUAAAGGCUCAAGACAUAUACUAUGCAUAUGAUUGGUUAUGAUAUAAAUUUUCAGUUUCCGUAGGUGGCUUAUUACUUACGGAACCAUGUUCGGAGAUUAUAUUUGACUGUAUUGACCCAUGUACGGUAACGAAAUGUGACGCUUAUCCCCAUGCGACUUGCAAAAGUAACUACUGUGGCGGAUGUACCGCAGAUUUCUUUGUACAUUUCGACUGGGUCAAUUGCACAAAGGCAGCACCAUCGAACUAAGAUUGCAUGCAAAUAUAUAUAUAUAUAUAUAUAUAUGUAUAUUAAAGUUGAUGUUUACGUGUCUGUUUAUUAUUAGUUUUAACAUAAACAAAACAUAUAAUCUUAGUUUAAGGUUCACUGUUUUGGGAAUACGUAUCUGAUCCUUUUUGUCGAAUCUAUUGAUUUCGGUCCUGAAAACAAGCUUAAAAUCCAUUGAAUGUUUUUUAUUACUUAUUGGUAAUCAAGUCUUUACGGCAUGUUUUUUAUUAGUUUUAUUUGGUUCUGAACCUUCUGUCAGUAACUGCAAGUACUCUCGUAGUUAAAUUAAAAUGAAAACGACAUAUCUGUAUACAUGUAAGAGACAACAAGCCAAUAAAAGAAUUAACACAGACACGAAUGGGGUUUCAUACAUAUGGCAAUUUUAUUUUAUAGUUAUUUUAGGAUACUAGCAAUCUAAAUUGAUAAAAUCUAGUCCAACUACUAUGUACCUAAAUAUGGGCAACGGUGGCCAAGUGGUCUAAGAAGUGCAUAUACCGUAUACCUAGUCUGUCAACAAUAAAGUUAUGAGUUCGCGUAGUAUGCAGAGUUCUUGUGUGUAACACUAUUGCUGAGUAUGUUGCAUUUGCACAAUUGUCGUUUCAUUUUUAUGUUUUAACGUAGUACUAUCUUUGUCCGAAAUAUGAAGAUGAUGUUUGCAAGUGGACUUCGAUGAGUGGUCAAUGCUUCUUUAAGUUAACGUUGUUAGUUUAUUAUGUAGACAAAAACAGAUCUGGAAACUAUACAAUGUCAAAUAAAUAAAAGCAGAUGGUUAAAAUGAUAAUAUAUAUAUUUUUAUUUCAGUCACGAAACACUACCAAUCGUAUAGCCAGGAGAACAUUGAGGAUGCAUACAUGUAUGCAUUGAUUAAGCGUCUAGUAACAAUGGCAUGAUACAGUAUUUGUAUAGAUAGUAUAUUGUAUGCAGUAGCCAAUAAAAAGAUCAAGAUGUUUUGCUUUGUUUUCCUUAUUUAUGUCAACAAAGUAACUGGCAAUGAGAAAGUUUUAAAAUGAAAUGGAUGUACAAGAACC